UCAGGUCACGGACGAGGGGGCGUCUCCCCUCGCUGACGAUUCCCAUCCAUUUCCAGGGCGAUCCCGGCCACCCCUUUUCAAUCCCAUCGAGCUUUUGGGAGGGAGUUGAAGGGCCGCGGCAAAAGGACGAUCUGUUAAAAGCGCGGGACGGGGCUCCCUCCAAGCCGGAGACCACCAACUUUGCCGGGCACGCUUUAAGGGGCUCUCUGAGAGUUCCGGGAGGGCCAGUUUCUACCGGCUGGAGGAGGAAGAAGCGGUGAGGUCCGUCUAGUCCUCACAAGCGACGGUUUCAGCUUUUGGUGAUCAAAUCCUUGCACCAGGAAGGAAGGAACCUCUGAAGGUGGCCGAGCCAUUGCCACCCAUUCAUCCGUCCGGACGUCUCGGGGACAAAGUGAUCCGGCCCAUCUCCCUCACGCAUAUUCUUCACUUCACUACGCUAAGUGCGUAGACAACCCUCCGGUGGCUCCGUUGCCUGAAUCUCCCGGGAAAACAGCCGCCACUCUGGCCGAAGCGCGCGAAGGACAAACUUGGCUGAGGCGCUCUUGCUUCAGCCCUGCGCCUUUCCUUCCUUCCUUCCUUCCUUCCUUCCUUCCUUCCUUCCUUCCUUCCUUCCUUCCUUCCUUCCUUCCUUCCUUCCUUCCUUCCUUCCUUCCCUCCUCAAGGAAGAAACUGCCUGGGUGAAAGCCGGAGAGGUACGCGGGAUCCCUCCUUAAGCCUCUCUGGCAGCCGAGCGAAACAAUCAAGGGAGCCUCGCCUGUCGUCCCGGCAGAGUCUGCAGGAUCGCCGCUCUUCUCAGCCAGCCCGGCUGCAUCUCCCGAGGCCGGAGACAGUUCUGCGAGGCAAAAAGCCUCGCCUUGAACCAAGGCCGGGCGCCGCUGUGUGUGAGAACGAAUUGGCUGGGGCGCCUGGCAUCGCUUCCUCUGCUUCUGUGGCAUUGAAACUAAAACCGUUCCACUGGAAAGGGAGAAAUCGGUUUUCCAAAUUGCGCUCGAUCGAACCAUUUUUUUUUGGGGGGGGGAGUUCAUGAAGUUUCCCUAGCUUCCCCUUCCCCCCACCCCCACCGACCCAGUCGUUUCAGCAGGUUGAAGGGAAAAAACUUCCAACAGGCUCUUCUCUUUUCUGCAACUGAAGCUUGAUUUCCGCAGAGUUGAACCCAACACAAACAAUGGUGAUUGUAAUUUCAGGUUUCCCCUCCACUCACUGCAUGAAAGAGAAAAUACCUUUUAUUAAACACUGUCUUGAAAGGA